rnacentral:lncRNA from 1 species
GGAACUUGCAGAACUAGAACUGAAGCAUGCAAAGGACUUUGCAUAUGCUAGGGUAACCUCCAGCUACUGCAGAACUGCCUUGCGGUUUUAAAUGGAGACACAUAGGCUUCACUCCACCUUCUGUUGAAAAGGGCUGCCUUCAGAUCUGGUUUGUUUUCCUGAGGACCUCCGGCAUCUAAGCUCACUGGGAACAAAAGAAACAGCGGGCACAGUGCAUCGGCUCUUCUGAGAGACCGUGGAGCAGCAGGGCUCACCCUGCCACCUCGCACUCCACCUUCCAAGAAGCCCAAAGUUGAACCCUCUCUUUCUUUAAGUAGCCUGUCUCAACUGUGUUUAUCUCGUAUGUGGCGAUUCUGUGCCUGCAGGCCUUAUUACCUAGGAAUCGCUCGUCCAGUUUUAACAUUCUCAGUACAUUGUUCACGCAAUUUAAAGGUUGCCUUUCUGAUUUUUUUUAAGCAUCCUGUUCCUUAGUUCUUUCAUGUAUUCGUGUAAAGCAUCUUAAUGAGACUUACUUUGAAUUAAUGAACGUAGAAGUUAUGGGUCAGACUUUAUGUAAGCUUUAUACGUAUGAUCUCUGAAGAGAAGCAGAUGCAUUAGUAUGUUUGCCUUAAACUCGUGGACUAAACCAAUAUUGUAAACCGCCGAGACACCAGCGGCAUUUUUACUCCGUGCUCCUUGUAUCGCUCUGGAAUUCGGGGUAGCCAUAAUAAACCUACUCCGCUAGUAU